UGACCCGGGAACUGAAGCUGGUGGCUCCCAGUGAGUUUCUCAGUAGGCAGACAACUCCAGCUCACCAGCCAGGGCCAGCCAAG
rnacentral:miRNA from 1 species